rnacentral:tRNA from 1 species
CCUGGUGGCUCAGACGGUAAAGUGUCUGCCUAUAAUGCGGGAGACCCAGGUUCAAUCCCUGGGUCAGGA